rnacentral:rRNA from 1 species
AGUUUGAUCCUGGCUCGGAUGAACGCUGGCGGCGUGCCUUAAGCAUGCAAGUCGAACGGGGUCCGCAAGGACCAAGUGGCGGACGGGUGAGUAACGCGUAGAAAUCUACCCCUAGGUGGACCAUAGCUCAUCGAAAGAUGGGGUAAUAGUCCAUGGUUCCGGAAACGGUAAAGCAAUUAACUUUGCGCCAAGGGAGGAGUCUGCGUCCUAUCAGCUAGUUGGUGGGGUAAUGGCCUACCAAGGCAAUGACGGGUAGCUGGACUGAGAGGUCGAUCAGCCACAACUGCACUUAGACACGGGCAGUACACCUACGGGUGGCAGCAACUGGGAAUAUUGCGCAAUGGGGGAAACCCUGACGCAGCGACGCCGCGUGGAGGAUGAAGGCCUUAGGGUUGUAAACUCCUUUUAAUAGACCUUUCACGGUCUAUAGAAUAAGCCUCUACUAACUACGUGCCAGAAGUCUCGGUAAUACGUAGGAGGCGAGCGUUAUCCGGAUUUAUUGGGCGUAAAGUGUGCGUAGGCGGAUCGAUGUGUCUUCUCUUAAAGACUGAAGCUUAACUUCAGCAGUGGGGAAGAAACUAUCGAACUUGAGGAUUGUUAGGGAUGUCGGAACAGUUAGUGUAGCAGUGAAAUGCGUUGAUAUUAACUGGAACACCAAAGGCGAAGGCAGACAUCUGGGAUUUUCCUGACGCUGAGGCACGAAAGCUAGGGUAGCGAAACAGAUUAGAUACCUGUGUAGUCCUAGCUGUAAACGAUGUCCGCUAGCUCUGUGCGUUUACGUACGGGGUGUAAGCUAACGCGUUAAGCGGACCGCCUGGGGAGUACGGCCGCAAGGCUAAAACUCAAAGGAAUUGACGGGGACCCGCACAACCGGUGGAGCGUGUGGUUCAAUUCGAGACAAAACGAAAAACCUCACCAGGACUUGACAUGAUACCGUACAUUUUCCUAGAAAUAGGGAGAAAUCCGCAAGGAUGGUACCACAGGUGCUGCAUGGCUGUCGUCAGCUCGUGCCGUGAGGUGUUCCCUUAAGUGGGGAAACGAGCGCAACCCGCGUCCAAUGUUGAAUAUUCAUUGGAGACUGUCCCGGUUUUACCGGGGAGGAAGGAGCGGAAGACGUCAAGUCAGCACGGCCCUUAUGUCCUGGGCUACACACACACUACAAUGGCGAAAAACAACGGGCUGCAAGCCGGUAACGGCAAGCUAAUCCCUUAAAUUUCGCCUCAGUUCAGAUUGAGGUCUGCAACCUGACCUCAUGAAAUCGGAAUCGGUAGUAAUCGCGGAUCAGAAUGCCGCGGUGAAUACGUUCUCGGGUCUUGUACACACCGCCCGUCAAGGCAGCAAAGUCGGUAGUUAUCGAACAUCCUUUCGGGGGUGGAGAUAGAGAUCGGCGAUGAGGCUUAAGUCGUAACAAGGUAACC